CCGUGCUGGGGGGACUGCGGGAGGGACAUUACACAAAUAUGAAGGCGGGCUGGAACCUCUCGGGGUUACAGCCUUGCUGAAUUAUUCACCCUUGUCUUUUGCGUACUUCUUGUUUCCUUGGUGGGUUCGCCCACCACUAGGACAAACAUAAACCUUUUGUAAUUGCAAUCAGCGUCAGUAACAAAUUAAUAAUUACAACUUUCAACAACGGAUCUCUUGGUUCUGGCAUCGAUGAAGAACGCAGCGAAAUGCGAUAAGUAGUGUGAAUUGCAGAAUUCAGUGAAUCAUCGAAUCUUUGAACGCACAUUGCGCCCUUUGGUAUUCCAAAGGGCAUGCCUGUUCGAGCGUCAUUUGUACCCUCAAGCUUUGCUUGGUGUUGGGCGUCUUGUCUCUAGCUUUGCUGGAGACUCGCCUUAAAGUAAUUGGCAGCCGGCCUACUGGUUUCGGAGCGCAGCACAAGUCGCACUCUCUAUCAGCAAAGGUCUAGCAUCCAUUAAGCCUUUUUUUCAACUUUUGACCUCGGAUCAGGUAGGGAUACCCGCUGAACUUAAGCAUAUCAUAGACCCGGAGGAA
rnacentral:rRNA from 1 species